UUUUAAAAAAGGAGAGAGACUAAUUACACAAAAAAUGCUUCCAAGUAAAUUCUGAAUAAUCCAAAAGGCCAAUGCAUAAUAACAAAGGGGGUACACGUUUAACCCAACUUUUCAAAAGCUGAAGUAUUCUAAUCAAUUUCAAAUUUCUAAUAUUAAAUCCCAAUAUUAUUACAGAGUUUGGAGUACAUUUAAAAUAAGUUGAAAAUUGGAAUAAGCUGUAAAAACAGCAGUCUAAAGUAGCAAAUCUUCAAGGACUUCGUCAAAGCUAAUGGUUGAAAUUCACGCUCCAAUUUUAGCCUCCAAAGCUGGCGCCGCCCUCCCUUCACUCAAUAUCCACUCACCUUUUGCAAACCUGCAAAACCAAUUCACAAUUUAAAAAAAACAGCUUAUCCAAAUAAGCACUUUAAAAACUAGAAAAUAAAGGAUGGAACAAAUAGAUUAGCUCUUUACACAACAAACCAAGAAGAACGUUCAAAGAUCACAUUCCAAUAUCCAAACCAACAACCUUAAAUCCAUAAGAUUAAUCAUCCCACAAAAUCUGGAGAAAGGAUAGCUUGGAAAGUUAUCUUAUAACCAACAAUGAGCAUAUAUAAACAAGAAAAAAUUAAUUAACAAGACACGUUCUGAAAAACUGAGAGAAAUUGCUAAAAAGAUUUUUCUCUGUUAAAACCACAAACAAAAGAACAAGGCAUAGGUUUUUCGACAGAUUCAACAGGAUAACCAAAUAUUUCUCAACUCAAUCAAAGAUUUUUUCUUUGUUAAACUGAAACCAAAUAGAAGAAACUUUUUUUUCCAGAGAACAAUCAAACAAUAAUCCAUAAAAACCUCUAAACCCUAAGACACCAAGCCAAGCAACAACAACACUCAAAGCAAAAAUAAAAGAAAGUGAAAAAUAGAAGAAGAUGGAGAACUUAUCUUAAACCGUGGGGAGCUUCGUCGGGGUUGAAUUUCAAACAAGUAAUUUUUUCCUCCUUCGUUAAAGUCUUUGCAUCAUCAUCAUUUACGCCUCUUCAUACUGGAUGAGAUCUUUCUUUUAAUUUCUUCAAAACUUUGCUGUAGAACUUCAGAUCUUGAAUCUAGGGUUAGGUUUUGGGUGUUUAAGUUUUUGGUUAAGGUUAAGAACGAAUCAAGCUACGUUUGGCCAUAUGAGAAGGAGAGUUUAGGGUUAGUUUUGGUAUUUCGAGGGAGGGCCUCGAUCCGGCCAUUUGAGGAACAAAUCGGAAAAAGCGAGUUCAUAUUUGAACUCAGAGGCAAAAAUAAAGGUGAGGUUUUUUUGUUGUUGUUAGGGUUGAGGGCGGUGGUCACCGGAGAAGACGGUGGCGGCCGCCGCGCGCCGCCGCUUCUCCGAUGAAGGUUGAACGGAGAAGAUGAAAGGAGUUGCAGAGCAACUCUGGUUAUUCUUGAAGAGAGAGAAUUAUUUUUAACAAAUGAAGCGCUUAAGCGCUUUUCCGCUGGUUUUAGGCAAAAGAACUUUAGGUCAGCCUCCCUCAUUGGGAGAAACCUGUUUUCCAACGGUGGGCUUCCAGUCCAGGCCCAAUUGGUCUUUUGUUUAUUUUAGCACCCCAUUUUCAUUUUAUUUUUUUACUAUUUUAUUAUUAUUUGUUGUAUAUUUUGAUUGGGCCUAAGGAAGACCCAUCUUCUUUUCAAGACUGUUAUUUUUCUACAUAUAUGACUUUUUUUUUAUUCAAAUUAAAUAGACAUUUUAGGAUAUAUAAUUAAUUAAUCUUUGAAAAUAUUUUAGAAUUUAAUUAGAUUUCUUUUUUUAGAAAUAAUUGUAGAUUAAUUAGAAUUAUAAGGUGAUUUAGAAUUAUUUUAGAAUUUUUAAUUUAAUUUAGAAUGAUUUUAGAAUUUAAACUUUGAAAAUAUUUAUAACUUAAUUAGAUUUUUUUUAGAGAUAAUUGUAGAUUAAUUAGAAUUAUAAGUUAAUUUAGAAUUAUUUUAGAUUUUUUAAUUUGAUUUAGAAUGAUUUUAGAUUUUAGUCUUUGUUAAUAUUUUAGAAUUUAAUUAGAUCUUUUUAAGAAAUAAUUGUAGAUUAAUUAGAAUUAUAAGUUGAUUUAGAAUUAUUUUAGAAUUUUUAAUUUAAUUUAGAAUGAUUUUAGAAUUUAAACUUUGAAAAUAUUUAUAACUUAAUUAGAUUUUUUUUAGAAAUAAUUGUAGAUUAAUUAGAAUUAUAAGUUAAUUUAGAAUUAUUUUAGAUUUUUUAAUUUGAUUUAGAAUGAUUUUAGAUUUUAAUCUUUGUUAAUAUUUUAGAAUUUAAUUAGAUCUUUUUUAGAAAUAAUUGUAGAUUAAUUAGAAUUAUAAGUUGAUUUAGAAUUAUUUUAGAAUUUUUAAUUUAAUUUAGAAUGAUUUUANNNNNNNNNNNNNNNNNNNNNNNNNNNNNNNNNNNNNNNNNNNNNNNNNNNNNNNNNNNNNNNNNNNNNNNNNNNNNNNNNNNNNNNNNNNNNNNNNNNNNNNNNNNNNNNNNNNNNNNNNNNNNNNNNNNNNNNNNNNNNNNNNNNNNNNNNNNNNNNNNNNNNNNNNNNNNNNNNNNNNNNNNNNNNNNNNNNNNNNNNNNNNNNNNNNNNNNNNNNNNNNNNNNNNNNNNNNNNNNNNNNNNNNNNNNNNNNNNNNNNNNNNNNNNNNNNNNNNNNNNNNNNNNNNNNNNNNNNNNNNNNNNNNNNNNNNNNNNNNNNNNNNNNNNNNNNNNNNNNNNNNNNNNNNNNNNNNNNNNNNNNNNNNNNNNNNNNNNNNNNNNNNNNNNNNNNNNNNNNNNNNNNNNNNNNNNNNNNNNNNNNNNNNNNNNNNNNNNNNNNNNNNNNNNNNNNNNNNNNNNNNNNNNNNNNNNNNNNNNNNNNNNNNNNNNNNNNNNNNNNNNNNNNNNNNNNNNNNNNNNNNNNNNNNNNNNNNNNNNNNNNNNNNNNNNNNNNNNNNNNNNNNNNNNNNNNNNNNNNNNNNNNNNNNNNNNNNNNNNNNNNNNNNNNNNNNNNNNNNNNNNNNNNNNNNNNNNNNNNNNNNNNNNNNNNNNNNNNNNNNNNNNNNNNNNNNNNNNNNNNNNNNNNNNNNNNNNNNNNNNNNNNNNNNNNNNNNNNNNNNNNNNNNNNNNNNNNNNNNNNNNNNNNNNNNNNNNNNNNNNNNNNNNNNNNNNNNNNNNNNNNNNNNNNNNNNNNNNNNNNNNNNNNNNNNNNNNNNNNNNNNNNNNNNNNNNNNNNNNNNNNNNNNNNNNNNNNNNNNNNNNNNNNNNNNNNNNNNNNNNNNNNNNNNNNNNNNNNNNNNNNNNNNNNNNNNNNNNNNNNUAUUCGAUUUUAAUUAAUUCAAUUCAUUCAUAAGAACACAAAUUUUAAAACCUCGAUCCGACAUCGAAAGUUAAAUUAAAAUACUUAAUCACAUUUAAAACAACACUUCAUUUGAAAAUGAAAAGGGGGAUGGUUUUGAGUUUUCAACUCCUCUCCUCGAUUAUUUGAAUACGAGUUUUCUUACUCGGUUAGUCAAAUGGUUGUCAUUUCUAAUUCACUUAAGAACAAAUAAAUCAAAUUCUUUUAUAAUAAAAAAUGAAAAGGGAGAUGACUUUGAGUCUUCAAUUUUUCUCCUCGAUUAUUUGAAUACAAGUUCUCUUACUUGGUUAGUCGAAUAAUCGUCGUUCCUCUACAAACUUCUAAGCCCGAUUAAAUCAAAUUAUUUUCAUAAUAAGCUAAAUGAAAAAGGAGAUGACCUUGAGUUUUCAACUUCUCUCCUCAAUAAUACGAGUUCUCUUACUCGGUCAGUCGAACAAUUGUCAUUUUUUACAAACAUACAACUUAAUCAAAUCAUUUUCAUAACAAACUGUACGAAAAGGGAGAUGGUCUUGAGUUUUCAAUUCCUCUUCUCAAAUGCUUGGAUAUGAGUUGUUUUACUCAGUCAUUCAAGCACUUGUCGUUCAUUCUAAAAAAUACAUCAACCAUACAUAAACCUAUUUUCAUAAUCACUCAGAUGAAAAAGAAAGUUGUCUAGAGUCUUCUAUUCCCUUUCCCGAUUAUUGGGAUACGAGUUGUCUUACUCGAUUAUUCGAGUAUUCGUCAUCCUUUCAAAACACCUUAAUUAUUAUCCAAUCCUUUCUAUAAUUAAGGGUGAAAAAGAAGGUGGUCUAGAGUCUUCUAUUCCCUUUCCCGACUUUAGGAUAUGAGUUGUCUUACUCGAAUAUCCGAGUAAUCGUCAUCCAACCAAAAAUAUAUCAACCAAACAAAAUAUCUAACAUAUUAAUCCAACUUAUCACCCUCGUGUGAUCAAAACUCUUUUAAAAAAAGAACACUAUUUAAUCCUUUCUGAUGCGCACAACAAACUAAUGCUUAAGCCUCCGCCGAGAGUAGACAAGCCAAUGUUUAGCCUUUAGGAUGCGAUCUAAGCAGUUGUUCAUUAAAAAACACCAACCAACCGUAGUUUCCCCGAACUACGAAUGCUCUGAUUUCCUUAUUAUACCAUAAGGAUACGUAGGCAGGAGAUUGUUGUAUCUUCGCGAGCACACUAAUAAAAAACCUCCCCUUUCUGAGGUUCUCAUCCAUUUCUAUUUUUAAUAAUUUUAUAACCCAAAGAUAAUAAACAAACAUAAAUUAACACACGAAACGCACAUUAGAACUAAAAGGUUCCCGUUGAGUACAACGGACUCUGAGGUUCUCAUCCAUUUCUAUUUUUAAUAAUUUUAUAACCCAAAGAUAAUAAACAAACAUAAAUUAACACACGAAACGCACAUUAGAACUAAAAGGUUCCCGUUGAGUACAACGGACGUAAGGGGGGUUAAUACCUUCCCCUUACGUAAUCCACUCCCGAACCCGAAUAUGGUUGCGAUGACCAUUAUUCCAUUUCCUAAAGGUUUUAUCGAUAUUUUCCUAUUCCUUCAUUGGGAUAAAUAAAGUUUGGUGGCGACUCUAUUCGAAUGAAAUUUUUUCCGCGACCAUCGUGAGGAAUCGUAUUUUUUGAGAUGCGACAGAGGGGGUUGACUACAGAUUAACUUCUUAUUUCUUCAGUAUUUGGGGAAUUAAAUAAUGCCUUACAUCGUCAACUAGGUCUUAUCAAUAAAAUCAUACGUCGACAAGUUCUGUUAUUUUAAUUACAUCAUUCUCCUCUUAAGUUUGUUAAUAGGUGAAAAACGAAACAAAGAGGCGUUGAUUUUUUAUUUUUAUGAUGGCAUAAGAAUGAGUGAAAAUGAAUGGAUUGAUUCCAAAAAUGAAUGCUCAUUCUAUUAGAAUUACUUUUCAAAGAGUACAAAUUUUAAAUAUAAACAACACUUAGCAAAAAGAAAUUACAACUGGCAAUGAUAAAGUCUAUUGAUCCUAGGGGUGACCUUAUUUAGGAGACGCUUCUUGAAGUUCUUGCACUUCUAAAGAUAAGGGCUGACCGUUCACCAAUGGGACUCCUCUUUCAAAAGUCAAUUGUAGGUCUAUCAGGUCUUGAACUUUGUAUUCAUACCGAACAUUCUCGUCAUAACUUAUAGCAUAUGGACGAGGAGGAGGAUCAAGUGAUUGUAGCUUCACUAGGGUAUCUCUGAGCAAACACUGAAGUAGUUGACCAUAAGACUUUGGUAUAUGAUCCACCUUCUUUUCCAGCUUCCUUUUUCGUGGCAGGACACACUGAUAUCAUGAUCGAUGAGGUGUAUGAGGAUACAGCUGCAAAUUUUGUUAUGGAGGCAUCAUCCAGGGUUGUUGUAUUUGAAGCAUUGGGUAGGCAUGUGGAUGGCAUGACGAAGGGUUUCCCUCUCUCUUCAAUGGUACUUUCCCCUCUUGAGUCCCUCCAUAGUUUCUUGGGACAUGUGGCAAGUUCAUUUGUGAGUAUUAGGGAAUCUGCUAGCUAAAUAGUUGGAGGAAGGUCGAAAGCGGAAAGGGUAUGCAAAUAUAUGUGUAUGUAUGCAAAUACAUGAAAAUGCAUGGGUAUGCAAAAAUAUUUUUCCUUCGUUUUUUAAGUAUGCUAAAAUUGUUUUCAUGGAGAUGUAAUUCAAUACGAGGUUAGGAUAAAGAUAGACCUAAGGAAACCCAAACGGGUUUAGGGAUAGCGACAAACAUAUGGAAACCCAUAUGGGUUUAGGGAUUGCCACUAACAAAAGGAAACUGUUACGAGUUUAGGAUAAUGAUGGAUACAGAACCCACAUAUGGCUUUCAGGAUAAUGCCGAAUAUAAAGACACCUUGUUUACGAAGGCUCCUUAUAGAUAUGGAUAAUGAUCGGCAUGGGAAACCAAACAGAUUUAGGGAUAGGAAGGUAAUAUGAAAGCAUGCGCUAGAUAAGGUAGUCUUUCUAUGACAUGUUAGUUCUAAGUUUAAACUACUCAAUCCCCUCACUUUUAAGCGUUAGGGUUUCAUUUGGUUGUUUUUAGAACAAACCUAAGGUCAUGGACCCUAGGCGAAAAUUCAUAAUGAUAGGGCGUAGCCCUUCCAUAAUAAAAUUUUAACAGGGUCUCCCUUAGGGAGCCUUCGCAUAAACGAAGUCUCACGUUCGGGGUUCUAGAAGAGGUCCCUAGAGUCAUGGAUCAAGCUCAAAGUUUCAUCAUAAAGAAAUGUUAGCCAACUCAUGACAAACUCUUGAUUUGCUCUAGGCGGAAUCAUCACCAAAGACCCCAUGGGAUGAGAACCCUAGUGGCCAAGAUAGGACCACCCCUUACUUAACUUAUGUGUUUCCUCGAGCUCGGGUAUAGAGCUUUCUCUCAGACAAAGAUAAAACCCAUGGAUAGUAAUGACAAAAUAUAAAUAUAAUAAAGAAAAUAGAAAUAAAUAAAUAAAAUAAUGCAAGAAAGAAUAACAACGAGUUAAAGAAUAAAAAUAAGAAUAAACUAGAUAAACAAACAACCCUAGAACUAAAGGGUGAGCUAGACUCUCUUUAGAGAAUGGUCCCCAGCAGAGUCGCCAGCUAUCGCGGCUGGAAAAAUCACAUAGUCACCACCAUAUUUUAUUCAUUCCUAAGGAAUAAGGGAAAUAAUGAUAAAAACCUAAAGGAAAGGAUAAGACAGUCAUUGCAACCGAAUAUGGUUUCGGGAGUCAGUUAAGUGAGGGGAAGAUGUUAGACACCCAUCACCUACGUUGUACUCAACGAGAACCUCCUCUAGUUCUAAGGUUAAUGGUUUGUUUGCAGGUGUUUAUUUUAAUUAUUUAUUUCUUGCCUAUUUAGUUACAACGAGAAGGGAAUGUACGAAGAGAUAAAAUGGGAAAAGAGUUAGUUUUAGGUUAGGGGACUUGUCUUGGUUUCACAACAUUGUCCCUACGUAUUUCUCAUUGAGUGAUGAGAAAAGUCAUAUUCAUCGUAGUUCGCAGAGUGUGGUUAGUGUUUUUUAUAAAACUAUGUUAAAUCUCCUUCGAGCGAUUGACUUGUGCCUGAAAUUUGAAUUGAAUGGAUGGUAGGUUAGCCUUUACUUCACAUUUAAGGGACCGGUCAGUUCUUUAUUGAAAAAAGUCUUUGAUUUUAUUAUGUUAGUGAAAAUGUUUUUGUGUUCGUUAGCUUGUUUAACCUAGUUCUAAGGGGGAAUAUGAUUGGUUCGGAAAACGAAAAUAGAAGUCCUAAUGUUCUAAUUUUUUUUAAAAUAGUUGAGUAUUGAAAGUAAAGUUAAUUAUAAACUCAUAAAUCUAAAAUUAAGUUCAUAUUUUAAUAAACAAAAAGGUUUCGAAUUAGAUAAUAAAUAUUAAAUGGUAAGAAAAUUAUUAUUUUUAAACCUAAAAUAACCCUAAUAAGUUAAUUUGAAAAUAAAAUUUUAAUUAAAUAUUUAUAAAAAGAUAAAAAGGAAGUUUGAAAAAAUAAUGAUGUUUUAAAUAAAGGAAAAAGGGUAUGAAUAAGUUAUUUACGAAAAAAGAAGAAGAUGAAUGAUAAAGAAUAUGGAUUUAAUAGUUUAGUUUUAAAAAGAGAAGUUUUGAAUUAUUACAAUAAAUAAAUCUAAAAAAGAAAUUAUUAAUUAAACCCUAAAUUUAGUCUAAAAUUAUAACUUAGAAUAGAAUUAGCCAUUUAGAAUUUUCUUUUAUAUCUAACCUAAAAUUGACAAUUAAUUAUUAAAAUAAUAAUAACUAAAAAAAUUAAAAUAACGAUUAUGAAAUAUCAGGAAAAUAUCAAACAAUUAUGAAUGAGACAGUAAGGAAAACCAACCUACGAGAGCCAGAUUUCUCUCGAUGAGAAAAAAAAUAUAAACUUCUUUUAAAUUCUUGUCCUUCUUUGUGCUUUUAGCUUUGACUUCCCCUUGAACUUUCCUAUUUCUCGUGCUUUCGGAAGAAUGGACGAUGGAGUUUUUCUUUUAGGAUUUAGUGUUGUUGUUCCUGAAAAGCAACAACUUUUAUGGUUGUUCGUGAAGAGAAACAACUUUUUGGAGAGAAAAUUUGUAAGUUUGUUGAAGAUCGUCUAUAGGCAAUAUGAAAUGAAGAGAGGUCUAUUUAUAGGAAAACUUUAGGUCAAAAAUUAGUUUUUUAUCUAUCAAUCUGGAGAGAAUCUGUAUGAAUCUGAUUUGAAAAGAUGGUUUAGUUUGUCUGGGUGAACAAGUCUAGGAAUCUAGAUAGAUUUUGUGCAUUUGUGCAAGGUUUGAUUCAAUUUGAAAAAGAUCUUAUAUAUUUUUGGUUUUUUUACUAUUUUUUUACAUAAAAUAAUAAAAAAUUAAUUUUAAAAAUGCCUAAAAAUAAAAAACAAAAAUAAUAUUUAAAUAUUAAAAAAACAUUUUUUUAAAAGCAUAUAAAUUUUUUGAAAAUUAUAAAAAAUAUAACUUUUGAUUUGAUGUUUAACAAUAAUAAUAGAAAUAAUAAUGCUACUAUAACUACAAAUCAUAAAUCCUAGUAACUAAUAGGGAAAAGAAAAAAUGAUAAUAACAAUAAUUAUAAUGAUAACAAUAGUAUAAUAAUAAUAAUAAAGAAUGACAAUAAUAAUGAUAUUAUAAUAUUAAUGAAAAAAUCCUAAUAAUAAUGUUAAUGACAAUAAUAAAAAUCUAUCUUAAUCUAUAAAAAUGAUAAUAAAAUAAACUUCAUAAAAAUAUAAUGAUAACUAAAAAUAAUCUAAUAAUAAUGAUAUAAUAAAAAAAACAAGAAAAAUAUUUUUUUUUGUAAUUUUUGAGCAUUUGUGAUAAAUAAAAUGCAUAAAUUGAUAGAAGUAUUUUUUUAAAUAUAUUAAAAUAUAAAAAACGAAAAUUAAAAAUACAAUUUAUUUUAAUUUUUUUUUGUAAAAAAUAUAUAUAAAGAUAAAAGAGAAAAAUACACUAAAAAAAGAGAAAACUGAGAUUUUAGAUUUUGAUGUUCAAUGCUAAUUAUGUUCGAAUUGCUUUAGUUUAUCUUGAUUGAGAUUAUUGUGAUUUUGUGAGAUUUUUAGAAUGUAUUGGAUUUUAAUUUGAGAUUUUGUGAGUUUUAAAGAGAUUAAUAAAAGAAUGAUACAAAGAUCUAUUUUUGAAUUUUUUUGAAUUUUUUUAAUAAAAGAACAAUAAUAAAUCCUAAUAAAAUAAAUUAAUAGUAAUAGUACAAAUUCUAAUCCAAUAAUAAUAUAAUAGGAAUAGUGAUCAUAAAAUCUAGUAUUCUAAUUACUAAUAACUAAACAUAAUUAUAAGAAAUACUAUAAUAAUAAUAAUAAUAAGAAGAAAAUAAUGUUUAUAAUAUUAAUAAAACCUAAUAAUAAUAACUCCUAAUUAAUAAAUUUGAUAUAUAAAAAUUCAAAACGUGAAAAAUUUAAAAAUGUAAAUUAAAAUCUAAAAAAUAAAAAAGUUGAAAAAUCAGUUUUAGUAAAUACCCAUUUAAUAAAUUCGAAAAUACAAAAAAAAUAUUUAAAAUGAAAUAAAAUAUUUUUGUAAAUUUUAUAUUAUUUGAAUGAAAAAUGUAUAAAAUCAAGAAUUAAAUGAAAAUAUAAUAUUAAAAAGCCUUAAAAUUAAAAGCAAAUAUUAACAAUAAAAUGCAUCUUUUUUACUUUUGUUUUGUAAAUUAAUAAUAACCAUAAUGAUGAUAAUAACCUAAUAAUUUUAAAACAACAAUAAAACCUAAAUCAACAUUUCCUAAAUUUUAAAAUAAGAUAAUAGCAAAAAGAAAAUAAUAAAUUCUUAAAACUAUAAAAACUAAAAUCCUUUUGUGAAUUUUUUAAUUAUUUGACUAAUAUAUGCACAAAAUCAUGAAAUUAAAAAAUCUUUUAAAAAGUGCAAAGUAAAAGAAAAUGAAAAUUAAUAAUUAAGUCCUAAAAAACUUUUAUUUUUAUUUUUAAUUUUUAAUAACAUAUAACAUAUUAAAAUUCCCACUCCUAAUAAUUAAACAUACUAAUAAUGAAAAUAAUACUACACAAGACCUCAUGCUUGAACCUCUUUGAAUUAUCUCUUUACUACCAAAUAGGCUAUCUCAUUUAUUCGUGAUAAAUGGUUACUAAAACCCAUAUAUUAGUAAAAUGCUCGGACAAAAUUGGGACAUGACACCAGUAUGUUACCCAAAAAGGCGAUAAAAGGAAGUGUAUUGUCAGAAUAUCUUACCCACCAACCAGCAGAGGAUUAUCAUCCAAUACAUUUUGAAUUUCUAGAUAAAGAUAUUAUGUUUCUACAUAACGAGGAGGUCACAAAUGAAAAUAAAGAAACCAAACUGAAAGCUCGAUGGAAGCUUCUGUUGGAUGGUGCAUCAGAUGCCAUGCGGCAUGGAAUUGGGGUUGUGUUGAUCUCUCUAGAGAAUGGCUAUACCCAUUUUAUAGCAAGACUACGCUUUAACUAUGAAGCUAACGGAAAUAUACCCGAACGCAUCACACGCUCAAACAUACAACAAUUCGCCAUUAAACUUUAUUUAUUCCCGGAGGAAAGGGAAAAUAUCGAUAAAACCCGGGGAAAGAGAAACUGGAUAAGGAAGUCAGUUAUGCAAGGGGAAGGUAUUAGCAGCCCUCACAUCUGUUAUACUCAAUGAGAACCAUUUUGAUCGUUCUUUGCCUGAAUAAGUGGUAUAUCUAAUUAUUACUCGCGAAAGAAUAAAGGGAAAAGAAAAGAAUAGAUAGAGUGUUCGGUAAGGAUUAAGCCCCUCAUGCCUACGUAUCCUUAUAGUGCAAUAAGGAAUUCAGAGCUCCGUAGUCCAUAGAACUAAUGGUGAGAGGAGAAAAGAUUAUGUUGUUUGAACCCAUGAAGGGAUGAAAUCUGAACCCAAGAGUAAAAUUGGCAUUAACCAAUAUGUGGCAUGGCCAAAGCAUUAACCACUAUAUGGUACGACCGAAAACAAAGAGAAUUAAAUGUUUGGUAUAAGAGCAAACAACUCUUGGUUCACAAGAAGACAUUGGAUAAAGCUCAAAGAGAUAGUGUAUUCGGCUCAAAGAGAGAGUGUAUCAAAUAAAGUAAAUGAAGGUAAUAGGUAUUAAAUGAAUGAAUCAUGGAGAUGAAUGAAAUAAUAAAUAAAUAUUGCUCGCGGAAGAUUUGAAUUUACAUGCCUACGUAUUCUCACCGUGCAAUGAGAAAUUAAGAGCUCCGUAGUUCAUGGAACAACUAAAACAAAGGAAACCAUAAAGACAAAUGCUUUGAACCAAAGACAAAUGCUUUGAACCAAAGAGUAAAGGAAGUACAAACUAAUAUGUGGAGGAACAUAGGCAUCCCUACUGUAUUGUCAUAACCAAAAAAUAAGGAAUUAGGUGUUUGACAUCAAGACAAACAUCUCUUGGUUCAUAAGAUGGAUAAAUGUCCUACAAGGAUAGGUAUGGAACCCAAUUGAGAAUGAUGAUUGGUACAAGAAACAAUAUAUCACUGUAGAGAGAACAAGUAAUUUUAAACCAAAUAAUGGUACAUUGAAUCCAUGAAGGAAUAAACUCUGAACCAAAGAGUAAGAUAGGUACAAACCUGUUUACCGUGAAAAUUAGUAAACAACCGCUGGUCUUCCAAAUCAAAGAUACUUUGGUUACUCACAGGAUCAACUAGAUUGAUCGUAGGUCAUGUACUAUUGUUUAAAAUUAUAUUUGGGAAAUGAUGAACACUUCAACAUUCAUGUUUGAAGAUUGUAGAAUGUAUAGGAAAGUAUAAAUUGCAAAAUGUAAAGGAAAUUAUAACAAAGGUGCUUGAAAAUAACUUGCAAUGGAAGAUAAAUUCUGGAAAAAGGAUAAAUAAACUUUAAUUGAAAUGUAGAAAAUGGUGUUAUCAAAUGUACAUUCUCAAUGACACUCUUUUGUCAAUACACUAGAUGCUUUGAGUAACUUUGAGUAUUUGUACAGCAAUUGAACACACAGAAAUCCCAACACUAAGACCCAUAUAUAUACUAAGUCGAAAUAACUGCUACCAACGACUUUUCUCCCUGAAAAUGACACGUCUCGCUCUGCAUGUAUUUAAUCCAUUAUAAUGUUCCACGUGUCUUUUUUUGAAACUGGAUAAGGACAAAAUACAAGUAUCUUUCUUUUAUUCAAAUUCAAACAUUUAUGUUGAACACAACCUUAAUAUUGCCUCUAUCGAAUUACUACUCUAAACUUAGAAAUAUUUUUGAGCAAUUCCCUCUUACACAAGAAUCACUUCGACUGUAUUUCUCAAAUAAUAUUUUAGGUCGAAGUCCAGAACAUCUUCAAAGAUAAUUUUCUUUCGCCCAUUGAAUCAGGCUUGACGUCGAAACUUCCAACUAACAAAUUACCCCCCAAAAAUGUAUUUUUCGACAUAACGAAGAAAAUGACAUUUUUUUGAAAAUCCAAUUCGCUGUCACAAUCUGUUCACUUGCUAUGACGUCACAACUAUGAUGAUAACUUUUAUAAAACGUCUCUUCAAAACCCAUGUGAGAAUCUUUAUGCAAUCCUCACGCCUCCAAGUCCCUUAGAGAUUGUGGCUAGCCUUUAACUUCCACCGUUCAUCAUGAUUACUCCAACUGACAUGCUUCCCACUUUCUUUUCAACCAUUAAUGCUUGACAAAAACCGCUUCCACUUCAGCAGCUUAUAAAUAUGUAUAUUCAACAUUUUCCAACUUUUUAUCAUUUUGAACUUCCUCAAAAACAAUAUCUUCCACUCUUUAUAUUCCUCAAACAAAAACCAAUUUUGUUUCUUCUUUCAAUGUCUCUGCAACAAUGGCAUCAUCCGCAAAAACUACCAAAGAAUUAACAAAGUGAUAACGCGAAAAUACAUCGUAUAUUUGCCUUGAUUUACACUCAAAAAUCGUAACACUUUCAUUUAUAUUCCGAUUAUUUUGCAAGUGUUCGAGUUAUUUUUGCAGGUAUUUCAAUCCCCAUGCUUAAAUGAGCAAAGUAUAGAAAAGGAAGGAAAAGAAGAAGAAAUAGAAGAGAAAGCAACAGAAAAACAGAAAAACAAAGAACACAAAAAUUGUGGAUGUGACGACCGUCACAAAUCAUGUCACGACCGGCACGCCCAGCCUGUCACGCGGCCAAAAUCAGCGCCUUGGAACAGUCAACAGAAGUGACCCAAUAGGCCUAAAUUCUCGUUGGUCAGCCACUUGCCUGUGAUUUACUCACUCAAACAAGUCAUCCUUGUUUCUCUCAACUGCCAAGACCUAAUGGGGGAAUAUAAAAAUACGUAAGUUGGAAACACUGGGGACGCUUAACUUUUCUCUUUGAAGCCAGCUUUGAAGACCUUUUUCUCUCUGUAUUUUUUCACAGCAAUUCUAUUUUGUCUUUUACUUUUCUUCAGCAACAUUAAUUUUCUUUUACCGUUCAGAGCUUUGAUUUUCCCUUUUUCCUUUCCACCUUUCAUUUAGCCAAAGUAGUAGUUUCCUACACUGGGGAACUACUACAAUUUAUUUAAUUUAGUUUAAGCUAUUAUUUCGAAGAGGCAGAAUCCUACCGACCUGUGGAGGACUGCUCAAGUACUUCAAUUUAGCCAAAGUAGUAGUUUCCUACACUGGGGAACUACUACAAUUUAUUUAAUUUAGUUUAAGCUAUUAUUUCGAAGAGGCAGAAUCCUACCGACCUGUGGAGGACUGCUCAAGUACUUCAAGAUUCGUUAUAUUCUAUUAAUCCAAUUUCCAGGUUUUUAUUCAAUUGUUAUUGUUUUAUUAUUAUUGUAAUCAUGUCUGUUUUAUUGUUGAUCUGCUUAUGUUCGUCUGUGUUUGCAUUGUUUAACAUGUCUGGCUAAACUACCAGUAUCGAUAUGUAACAAUUUAAUUAGACGGGAUUUAAUAAUAAUCGGUGUAAAACUUCUUUCCUCAAACAAUCUUUUUGGCUGUGGUUUUUAAUUUAAAUUUAAUUAACUUUGUUACAAGAGUGAGAAGCUAUUUAAUACGAUUUUUCCACGAGAGUAGGAAAUUAACCAAGGUGAGAACCAACAAUAGCGAGAGCGUGAUGGUCGAACUGGAUAGUAAAAACUAGGCAUUGAUUUUAAAAACAGCGAGAGCACUUUAAAAGCAAUUAGAACUUAUUUAUUUUCAAAAAGUAUUUUUAACUUCAAAUGGGACAGCUAUAGUAAAAACUAGGCAUUGAUUUUAAAAACAGCGAGAGCACUUUAAAAGCAAUUAGAACUUAUUUAUUUUCAAAAAGUAUUUUUAACUUCAAAUGGGACAGCGAGAGCGUACAUUCUGACUUAAAGGUAUAAUCCGAAUCAACAAUCACGAGAGUGUGAGAUAAAGCCUUUUAAAUAAGUAUUUUCUACUGAAAGAUAUUUGGUACUUAAAUUAUACACUGGUGACUUAUCGAAUCCCUGACGAUUAAUGCGUUGCAUACUGAUAUCCUUCUAUUAAUAUUUUCUUAAAACUCAACUUCCCUUAGAUUUAAUUUUCUUCAACCAAACUUCUAAAAAUCAUUCCCUUAGCUAAACAUAGUAAUGUUGGUAGCAUUAGUUUGACCAUCGGUCCCUGUGGGUUCGAUAUCUUUUAAAACUAAAACGGCUGGACUGUGCACUUGCAGUCAAGUACCCAAUAGACUACAUUCUAUAUACAAUCACAGUAUGUAUCACAAAGAACACAAAAGAUUCUAAGAAAUCUCCAGGUCUUCCUCUUGCUGACAAAAUAUUAGGCCCAAACACUGUAAGUAAUCAAUAAUAUGUACCUGAGCCUCUUACUGAAGAACAAAGAAGAAUUUUCCAAUCGUGGGUAUUGAUCACUAUCUCUAUUUCUGGAAAAACUCAUGUUAUGUUAUGACCAUUAUAAAUUCCAAAUGUUGAUCAUAGUAAGCUCAAGGAAGUCUUCCCAACCUACCAUAGGUACAAACCCAUAGCAUGUGCUAAAAAACCUAAGGUUAGCAAUGAAAUCCAUAAUAAGGAAAACCCUAACCCAGAUAAUCAAGGCAACCCUUCGACUGACAAAUCCAUUAAUCUUACAUACAUGAAUAAUGGUUUUAGGGUCUUUCGAUCCUACCCUUUAUUUAGGGAUCCCUCUGAUUAUCUAGCUUGGUUAGAGAAGAUAGAGAAGAAAAAAUCUCAAGUUUGGAAAGAAAUGGGUAUAUUCGACUUAAUACAGUUGCCGAAAGUAGGAUCUGGCUAUUACCAAACCAUGUUAGUUUCCUCCCUAUACUUUUGGGAUAGUACUCACCAUAAUUUUCACCUCCCUUGUGGAAUGAUGAAGCCCACACUUUUUAAUAUAUCUGUCAUCACAUGGCUUAAACCCACUGGCGAAACUUAUGAUCCAGACUUUUUGUCUAAAGACACCAUUGGUUUCGACACCUCCAGAGCUGCUUUUACCACACAUAUAUCCUACUAUCAUGAUAAAGACAUCGACAAAGUAUUUGACACAGAUCAUAUCUCUUUCCUUGCUUUGUGGUUGUCUCGUUGUGCAUUUUGCUCGAAGUCCCUUCAGGUAGCGAAGAAAUACAUCACCCUGGCGAACCAACUUCAUGUUGGACGCAACGUCUGUCUCAGCGAAAUGAUUUGGGCUAACCUUUGCGAAUCUGUGGGAAAAGGUGUGACUGCUCUCAAAAAUAUCCAGAAGAAAGGGAACUUAUUACUUUCCGUCCCCUUCUGGAUGCUAGAAUUAUGGGAUUUUUUUUAUCCAAAUACCCCUUAUUUUCAAUAAAAUUCCCAAAAUAGCCCUAAUUUCAAAAAAAAAAUCCCAAACUACCCCACUUUUAGGAGGAGGCGCCAAUCCAAUUGGCACCUCCUCUUAAAAUUAAAGAGGAGGCGUCAAUUGGAUUAGCUAGGGCACAUGGUGCAACCAAUUCAAUUGGCGCCCAUGUGUUAGUUUUGAGAAGAGGCACCAAUUGGUCUGGCGCCUCAGUGCAAAGUGCAAUUUUUUUGUUGUUAUAAAUAUAGGUGUUGUGUGAAUCAUUUUUCCACAUCUCAUUUCAUCAUUUUGCAAACAUGUUUGGUGUUCGGCGCCGCUAUGGAAAGGUGAUUUAUUCGAGAGACAAACCUCGGAUGUUAAUGCUCUUCUGGAACAUCACUACUUUCGAUCAACUGAAGAGAAAGCUGGUUAGUUGGUUAGAUGGGAAAAUACCAUAAGGGGAAAAAUUAGAUGUAUUGAGAGACUCGAUAGUAUCUUUGGUUGGGUGCGAAUGAAAACUGAUAAGGAUGCUAGGGAAAUGAUGUUUGGACGAGAUGACAUCACUUUGAUUGUUGUAAUCAGUUAGAAAUAUUAUGUUUUCAGUUUCCUUAUGUUGCAGUGAUGUUUGUUGUGAACCUCGUUGUAACAAAAACUUAAUGAUAUAUAAAAAUUAAAGGUUACAAAAAUCCAAUGUUACAAAAAGAUUAUGACUCAGAUGAUGCUCCUCAAUUGGGACAGUUGUUCUUAUUGUGUCUUGGUUGACGACAGAUACUACAUAGUCUUAUCAUUUUAUCUGGCGUAUCCAUUUUUGUCCUGAUACGUGUGCUGGAAAUGUCUCCAUAAUUGCAACAGUUCCUGGCACAUAUGUUUUUAGUGCCCAUAAAAACCGUGGCAAUUCUUUGUAUGAAUCCUCCUAGUUGCCGAAUACAUGUUCAACAACUUUUGUCCUUGCAAUCCAUGCUUUCUUGUAAGAUGGAGUAUAAUUAUAUCUUAUUCUGAUAUGACAUAUCAAUGCAACGCUUAAUUUAUGGUGAUCUUGUUCAACGUUAGUUGCAAUGCAACUGUGAGGUGGGUCUAUUGAAGCUAUCUCCCAAGAGUCUCUUUUCUUUUUGUGAGAUGCAGCCAACCGAAACUUACAAAGGAUGUUAUGACAUUCGAUGACAUACCUUCUCGAAUCAGUGCAUUUCACUAUGAAAUCAGCAGAGUUAUUCAUGUGAAAUUUUUUGGUAGCUUGCACACAUUCUUCUUUAGUGCAGAACAUGUCUUCCACCUUUAACUCGCCUUCUGAUUGUCGAUACGGGUUAUAAAAAACAUUGUUUGAUGUUUCAUCGUCAUGCAGAUCCAUGUUUGUCAUAUGUUGAGGCGGAUUGUAGACAUGACUUGGAGGUAAUGGCUUUGGCUGAUCAUCAUCUUCAAUGUCGUUGUUCAACACAUGAUCGUCCUGUGUCUCAGUCUCUUCUUCUUUAUCAUCAACGAUGUUGACUUCUGCUUCUACUUCUAGUUCGAUGUCAUCUGAGUAUUGUGAAUCAAAUUCAUCAGAUUCGUCCUGAUUAGUUACUUGAGAUUGCUGAGAUGGUAUACUUGGUUGAAGAGUAAUAUACAACUUAAUAUAAUUGCAUCCAGAAUGUUCGUGACUAACAAACAUCUAUUCAACAUCUUCAUCAUCCCGUACCUUUAGAGGGAAAAACUUGCAUUGACUGUUCUAAAAAAAUUGGAUUUUGAUACGUGAUCUUUGACACAUUACCAAAUCCUAUGCAGGAUUGAAUUCGUUUUCUCAAAUGCAAGAAAUUUGCAUUUCUCUUUAUCGUAAGUCGAAUGGUAUCGGUGUUUUGAAAACAAAACCCGUAUAACUCAGACUCGUAUGUCUCACCAUUACAAUGAACAUUGACAUUAUAUUUCGGUGAAGAUGACAUUGUAAUAUUUCUGGUGCAGAUGAAAAUUAAUUUCUUGCUGCAGUUGAAUGUGUGUUGAUUGUUGGAUGUUGAUAGUAAGACACUUAAAUAGGUAAGUGAUUUGUCUAACAUACAAGCAAGUCCGAAGUGAUAUGUCUAACAUGCAAGCAAGUCCGAAGUGAUGUGUCAAACAUGCAAGCUAGACGGAAGUGAUGUGUCCAGCAUGCAAGAGAGAGGAAAGCCACGUGUCACACACGCAAGCGCUGGCUCUAAAUGAAUUGGUGCCUCCUUGCAAUCCUGGCACAUAGGCGUCAUUCCAUUUGGCCACACCAUAUCUUGCAUGCAUGCAGACCUCGUAACCAAUCAUGUAGAGCUAGAUGUGUCAGGCAUGAGCCUAGGGAGGCGCCGAUUUGAAUGGCGCUAGCAUGUAGAAAAUGCACAUGGGCGCCAAUUCAUUUGGCUACCACAUGCAAUCACAUUUUUCCAAGCUUCCACACUUUUGCAUAUAAAUAGGAAGGUGACUUUAACAUUUCUUCCACACCAUCACUCACUACUUCCUCUACAACAUCAAAUCUUUCAUCUGCAAUAACCUCUUUCAUCCGCACCAACCUCUUUCAUCUUCGAUAAGAUGUUUAUCCUCACAAUGGGCGAAUCGCACAGAGGAACGUUGCAAACAUAACAACUUAUAUAAGCGUUUAAUUCUUUUGUUAUUUGUCUAGAGUACCUUUUAAUAACAUAUCAACUUAGUAAAGUGUUUUGUUGUUUCUUUUAUAGGAUCUUUCAAGGUUCCGUACUCGGGUCUACGAAUAUGUCCACAUGGACCCAAUGAUUCAACUGUAUGUCGAACUCGCCGGUUUUGGACAUAUAAGCAAAAUUAUGUCUUGGUCGAUGGAUAAUAAAUUCAUUCUUGCGUUAUAUGAAAGAUGGAGUCCUGAGACACACACAUUCUGGUUUCCAACUAGUGACUGUACCGUGAAGUUAGAAGACGUCUACAUGCUAUUGGGACUGCCUAUUGAAGGUAAAGUUGUAAAUGGUAAAACCAACUAUGCGAAUUCAAUUUGCAUGGACCUCUUGGAUACUGAUUUGUUAGAUGAUAACUCAAUAGGUCAAGGUAUACUCCUUUCACACCUUAAGUCAUACUAUAAUAGUUUACAUUUAGAUGAGCAUUCUAUCGAAGAGGCUCGAAUAAUAAAAACUAGGUGUUACAUUAUGCUUUUAAUUGGUUCUUUUUUAUUUUCCGAAGGUAGUGGUUCUAGUAUGCAUGUUAUGUAUUUACCUUUACUAAGACAUGUAGAUAGAAUAGGAAGUUACAGUUAGGGAUCUGCUUGUCUGGCUUAUCUUUAUAGCUUUUUGUGUUAAAAUUCACACAAAGACACAUUUACCUUUUCUAGAUGUGUUGUUUUGCUUCAAGCAUGGGGUUGGUCAAGACUACCGUCCCUAGCGCCCACCAACAACAACCCUUUCACAUUCCCGUAUGCACAAAAGUAAGUUGUUUAAAAUGCUAUAUAUUUACUUACUUUAAUGAUUAUUAUCUCUAACUAAUAUUUUUACCUUUAUGGUGCAGAUGGUCGGCACAUGGUAUGAGUUAUAACAGAUGUCCUAGACACUGUAUUACCCAGUAUCGCAAUCUCUUGGAUCACCUUCGACCGUAUUAUUAUCUCUAACUAAUAUUUUUACCUUUAUGGUGCAGAUGGUCGGCACAUGGUAUGAGUUAUAACAGAUGUCCUAGACACUGUAUUACCCAGUAUCGCAAUCUCUUGGAUCACCUUCGACCGACUGAUGUAUGGAUAAUAACCUAAUUAUUUCGUAAUAAUUUGUUAAUUUCUUCGACCAAGUUUAUAGUCUAACAUAAGUUCACAUUUAAGUUCAUUUGGCGUCCAUACCUAAAUUUGGAUCAUGACCAUGAAAUCAACAAAGAAGACGCAGCCAUAUGGACUACAUGCACACCGAUCAUAAAAUUCACAAUUGUGGAGAUGCACAAUAGUGAUCGUGUGAAAUUGCAGUUUGGUAUGCUUCAACACAUCCCAGAUCCCCCAAUAAACCUAGGAGAAUGGCAUUUGCGUGAAGUUAAUGACCAAUGGAACUUCAACCCAUGGCAAAGCUUCGUUAGAUCUAGGUGUCGCAAAUGGAAGCACCGCCAUGACCAUGUCUUAACUGACGCAGUGAUGCCAAAUGAAGAAAAACCAAGUCGUACUUAUAUGGCUUGGUAUAGAUCGGUUGGUUUUGAGUUCAUCGUCGAGGAUAUGUACCUAUACGAACCACGCUAACAAACCUACACACCAGAUGCCUCAACAUCUAACCCCCAACAACAUUUUCAGACCGGGUACACACAACCCCCUAUCCGUCAAACUUUCCGUUCCACAAACACACAAACAUACAACCCUAACAUGCCAUACACCCAACCACAAACAAAUAGAUCAUAAACCAGAGACCCAACAUUGCUUCAUACCCAACACAUCACCCUACCAAAGUCGUCUUAGCCAUAACACUCAACGAUCAUUUAACACCAACCGUCCCUCCUCCUACCAUAGCCAAGAAGCCCAAACCUCAUAAAACUGAAACCUUCAACAAACCUAUCUUUACCAAACACCACAACAAUCUUUCCAACCUUUCCUCGACGCAUCAUUCACACCAAUGUCUCC
rnacentral:lncRNA from 1 species